rnacentral:lncRNA from 1 species
CAGCCAACGGACCAAGGCACUUAGCUCAUAAGAGAUGAGUAUGACCCUGUCCGAAUCACCUGGGGACGUCCCAUGAAGCUGUUAGGAGAGAGAAGUAUUUGCUUUUUGCCCCUGGACUUGAAUCUGGGAGGAUCCAGGGUGUAGCUGCCAAUAGGCAAAGUGCAACACAAGGGGUCAGCACUGACUGAACCAGAGGCAAAGCCUGGAGACACUGGAUCCUAGUGAGUCAGGGGACUGUAUCCACCUGCAGCUACCAACGUGCCACGUGGGCUUGUAGAUGGGCAGCAGCCAAUGAAGUUAUUCCGUUCUUCCCUACACCAAUUUUGAGGUGCUUUUUGCUGUUGUUGUUGUCUUCCCCAGUUGCUUGCAGCUAUUAGGGCCCAAAAUGAUCUAGGUGUUAUCAAAAAUCCUAGCUUGUAUAUGAAAGUGUCAACACGUGUUUUCUGGUGUGUAUCUGUCUGGGUGUGCGUUCCCAUAAGACAGUGAGUGUACUUUGUUCUGAUCAUAUUUGCAUCUUUGCUGUUCCAGAGAUAGUACCUAAUAAAUGGCUAAUGAGGAA